rnacentral:rRNA from 1 species
GUCCACGCCGUAAACUAUGGGUGCUAGCCGUUGGGAAGCUUGCUUUUCAGUGGCGCAGCUAACGCAUUAAGCACCCCGCCUGGGGAGUACGGUCGCAAGAUUAAAACUCAAAGGAAUUGACGGGGGCCCCGCACAAGCGGUGGAGCAUGUGGUUUAAUUCGAAGCAACGCGCAGAACCUUACCUACCCUUGACAUGUCUAGUAUGGGUUCCAGAGAUGGGAUUCUUCAGUUCGGCUGGCUAGAACACAGGUGCUGCAUGGCUGUCGU